GAUGAACGCUGGCGGCGUGCCUAAUACAUGCAAGUCGAGCGAACAGAUAAGGAGCUUGCUCCUUUGAAGUUAGCGGCGGACGGGUGAGUAACACGUGGGUAACCUACCUAUAAGACUGGGAUAACUUCGGGAAACCGGAGCUAAUACCGGAUAACAUUUAGAACCGCAUGGCUCUAAAGUGAAAGAUGGUUUUGCUAUCACUUAUAGAUGGACCCGCGCCGUAUUAGCUAGUUGGUAAGGUAACGGCUUACCAAGGCGACGAUACGUAGCCGACCUGAGAGGGUGAUCGGCCACACUGGAACUGAGACACGGUCCAGACUCCUACGGGAGGCAGCAGUAGGGAAUCUUCCGCAAUGGGCGAAAGCCUGACGGAGCAACGCCGCGUGAGUGAUGAAGGGUUUCGGCUCGUAAAACUCUGUUAUUAGGGAAGAACAAAUGUGUAAGUAACUGUGCACAUCUUGAUGGUACCUAAUCAGAAAGCCACGGCUAACUACGUGCCAGCAGCCGCGGUAAUACGUAGGUGGCAAGCGUUAUCCGGAAUUAUUGGGCGUAAAGCGCGCGUAGGCGGUUUCUUAAGUCUGAUGUGAAAGCCCACGGCUCAACCGUGGAGGGUCAUUGGAAACUGGGAAACUUGAGUGCAGAAGAGGAAAGUGGAAUUCCAUGUGUAGCGGUGAAAUGCGCAGAGAUAUGGAGGAACACCAGUGGCGAAGGCGACUUUCUGGUCUGUAACUGACGCUGAUGUGCGAAAGCGUGGGGAUCAAACAGGAUUAGAUACCCUGGUAGUCCACGCCGUAAACGAUGAGUGCUAAGUGUUAGGGGGUUUCCGCCCCUUAGUGCUGCAGCUAACGCAUUAAGCACUCCGCCUGGGGAGUACGACCGCAAGGUUGAAACUCAAAGGAAUUGACGGGGACCCGCACAAGCGGUGGAGCAUGUGGUUUAAUUCGAAGCAACGCGAAGAACCUUACCAAAUCUUGACAUCCUUUGAAAACUCUAGAGAUAGAGCCUUCCCCUUCGGGGGACAAAGUGACAGGUGGUGCAUGGUUGUCGUCAGCUCGUGUCGUGAGAUGUUGGGUUAAGUCCCGCAACGAGCGCAACCCUUAAGCUUAGUUGCCAUCAUUAAGUUGGGCACUCUAGGUUGACUGCCGGUGACAAACCGGAGGAAGGUGGGGAUGACGUCAAAUCAUCAUGCCCCUUAUGAUUUGGGCUACACACGUGCUACAAUGGACAAUACAAAGGGCAGCUAAACCGCGAGGUCAUGCAAAUCCCAUAAAGUUGUUCUCAGUUCGGAUUGUAGUCUGCAACUCGACUACAUGAAGCUGGAAUCGCUAGUAAUCGUAGAUCAGCAUGCUACGGUGAAUACGUUCCCGGGUCU
rnacentral:rRNA from 1 species